GCAGGACACAAUGGAGCCGUUUUAUCUCUAUGACCUUGGGCUCCUAACAGAAAACAAAGCUAUUCAAAGGAUCCUCUGCCCCAUGGCAGCACAGCUCUGCCAUCUGAUCCUCGCCCUGGAAUGGGAAGAUGGGAUCUGUCAGGCCUUUCCCAAUUUAGGGGACAAUGCGGAAAUAUUAUCCAAAGCCACAGGGGAACUCGCUUCUGUUGCAAGAAGGUGAGUGUGCUGGGCAGCUCCUGGGCAGAUUUGGGGGCUGGGAAGGAGGAGGAAGGGAUAGCAAAGGAACUGGCAGGGAGCCUGCCUCUCCUGCCUGGUGCUCCCUGCCUGCACCUUGCUGAAGGUGGGAACGGGAGGAGGAAGGGAUGGAGAACAUGAGAGGGGGAACAGGAUUGGGAAGGGAAAAGGAGAGACGGGAGAAAGCAGGGAUAUGUGCUCGGAAGGGACAUGGCGAAGCAAUACCUCAACAAGCAAUAUUUAACCUUAAGACAUCUUAAAAUAAUCAUUGGGCAAUUGACCAAAUGCUUGAGUGAAUUUACUGAACGCUUCCGUAAACUGGAGCCCAAACCCACAGAUUAGGCACUGGCUGCUGGGUUAUUUGGCUGUUACAGCUAGGGCAGAUAGCAGACACCGUGUCUUAAAGUGAACUGCAGUCGCUGCAAAAGGUUCUUAAACAGUUUGCAAACAGGGCUAAAAUCAAUUCAAGCCCAAUUAAGGUCAGGUGUGGCUAAUUGUUGCGAUAAAGCCCAGGAACAGCACAUGCUGUCUGCCAAGGCUGGUACUCACAGGAUGGUGGAGAGCUGAGCCCAGCGGUUUCUGUUCCAGGUUGGCUGAGGAGUCCAGCGAUGAGGUGUUCAAAGAGGAGAUGCAUCCUGCAGCCCAGUCCCUUGUCCAAGCCGGGAGGUGCGUUCUGCUGGUAGCCCAGAAGCUCCAGGUGCAGCCAGACAACCCUGGCCACAGAGAGGAGCUGGCUGUGUCGGCAAAGAGGGUCUUAACAGAGACAGUGAAGAUCCUUCAGAUUGAAGAUGCUGCUGGGACGAGGAGGAUAAUUCAGGCUGCCAGCUGGCUUUUGGAGUGCCUGAGUGUGCUGCGGGAUGCAGGGGAUAUGCCAGGACUGCUGGCUGCUUUCUGGACCUUUUCAGAGGCCUUGCUUCUGCUGAGCAAUCUGACAGCAAAGCACCUCGAGGAACUUGGAGAUUGUCCUCAACAGAAGAGCUUGGCCCAAACUUUGCAGCUGCUUCACAAGUGCAUUCCUUUGCUCCACGCAGCCAAGCACAGCGAUCUUAAACGCUCCUGGGGUCAGCGAGCCAACCUGUCCAAAGAUUAUGCUUUCCAGCUAAUGGAGAGCACCAUCAAAGAGCUCACUUCCCUGCUCGUCGACAAUACAGUCAGAAGGGAGCCAUGGGACAGAAGCGGGACCUUCUCCCAGCACGUGAGCAGGCUGCUGGCUCUCCUCUCUUCCCCAGACCCAGUGCAGCUCUCUGACAGUGAGCUCAGCGCUCACGUGGAAGCAGUCGUUUUCUACUGCAUGCUUCUGGCAGACUCAUCCAGGUCAGAUCUGAAGCUGGACCUGGUAAAGCAUUGCUGGGUUCUGCUACAGCUGAGGAAGAGCAUCUGCAGCCAUGUAAGCCAGGAGAAAGGGUGGUCAGGGCAAAGCUGGGGAGAAAGCAGUCUGGAGAAGGAAUUGCACACCAUGAGAGAAGAGGUAGAGACUCUCGACCAGGCAGUGCUCACAGCUACUCUGUGCCAAAUCCUUGACACCUUCUUUGUGGGUAAGGAGCCCCUGAGGCAGUUAGUUGAAGAUGCCCUUAGCCUUAUUGGUACAGGGUGUUUUCCAGCAGGACAAGGAGGAUUUUUAAAGAAACUUCAGCCCCUCGUUGCCACCUUCUUCACACAUGCCCAGCAGAUGCUCAGAGUGGCAGACUUUGUUCUGGCAAGGUGCACCAAAACGCAAACUGCUAGAGAAAUUGGAGAGUGGGUAGAGUAUUUGAAGAGACUCCUUGCCAGUCUCCCUCCGCUGCUUACAGAAAUGAGCAGAAACACAGCCCAGAUGAGAGCUGCUGAGCAACUGCAGUCCUUGCACCACACAUGGGCUGGAACAACAGAAAGCCUCUUGCGGUGUUUUGAGGAGACAGUCAGCAUGUGUGAAUUCCUUACGCUGUCUGUCCAGGAAAUGGCCAAGCACAAGGAAUGGUGUGAAAAGGCCCUGGAAAGUGAGGACCCCGAGGGGCUCUCUUGGCACGCAACUCGCCUCAUCAGUUGGGCUCGGUGGGUGGUUGAAGCUACCACCAGGUAUGUGGACAGAGCCACAGACCCCAUUUUCAGGAAUGGCUUGCUGGUUUGGGUUGAGCAACUGGCCACCUCCAUCCUUGAGCUGAAAGCGGUCACAGCCCCUUGUCCAGAGAGAAUCUCCUGCCUCCAAACUAGGGAUAUCUUUUCAAAGGUAGCGAGCUGCCUGAUGGAUUCUGCUCACCAUGUCCGAGAUGGGCUGGAUGGGUCCAACCACCCAGAGAUCCUCAGCCCUCUCCGAGAACAAGUGAGAAGCACUGAUGCUUCAAGGGCACUUGAACUCCACCCAUCCCGUGCUGGGCUAAAAAACAUGAUGGAUGAGGCUGCAUUGCAAGAAGACAUCUUAAGCCAUCCGUCUCCACAAGCAGAUAAUUUACACCUGGAUGCCAUUCCAAGGAAAGGAGAUGUGCACCCUGUCAUUACAGCUCUCCUAGCAGCAACGAGGGCCCACGAUAUGGCAGCUGUCAAUGCUGCUUGUGCCGCCUUGCUUGAGCUCUCCAACAGCUCUGUCGAAGCUGCAAAGGAGGCACUGCCUGUUGCUGAGUCUCCCCAGAUGGAGACACUGGGGCAGUACCAGAAGAUGGUGUUGUUGACACCAUGUGUUGUUAGUCUGGCCAGGGAAACAGCCUCAAGGCGGCUUUGCUGUCCAGGCAGGCUUCUUCAAAUGGCACUCACGCUCUCCGAAGGGAUCUGUAAGACACAAGAGUGCCUGGCAGCCAUGUCAGGCUCUUGGUAUAGUCUGUCUCAGCAGGUACUUGGCUUUAUCUUGUCUGCUGACUUCCUGAGCAGCAAACAGGCUUUGGACGAGACCAUGGUGGGUUUAGCAGGAAUGGUUCAGUUAGCAGAAGGCAUUGCAAGCACGGCCCGUAGUAAGGGAAAUCCCACUUCCCCUGACGUCUGGGAGAGCUUUCUACAGGUCCAAGCCAAGUUUUCAUGUGCUCAGAGGAACAACAAAGUGUUACUUGAGAAAGCAGCAUCCUUUGAGGGCUCCUGCAGGGUGGGAAAGGCCAGCCUGGAGCUGCAGUGUCUCCAGUGGGCCAUCAGUAUGCACGUCCUGCUGAGCUCUGUGGAUCAGUUCAUCGGCAGGGACGUCCUGUUCCUGAGGGAGCUGAGGAGCGCCAUGAACAAUGAGCUUUGCUUGCGGAGCCUCUUGGCUGCUGUGUCUGAGAACUCUCUGAGGCUGCAGGAGGCCGCCCGGCUUUCUUACCUGUCCUGCCCUGAGGACUGUGGUCGCAGUGAAAUCCUCGUGCUCAGGGAGGAGAUAAAGGUGCUAGUGGAAGCACUGCUGGAUGCCUCCAGUACCCUCUCGGUCUCCCCGCUGUCUACUGCCAGCUUGUACGUUCGCUUUGAGCUUCUGCAGAGAGACCUGGCCCUCAGGGCCAAGGCCUUAUUGCUCCACCUGGAGAAGGUCAAUACCAAACACCUGCAGGUCAUCCGCGAUGUCGUUGGACCAGCCCUGUCCUCUACCCCUCAAGAGGACGGGGAGAGGAGAAAAGAGGCCUUUGAAGAGAAGGCAAGUCGGUUAAUGGCCAACGUUCAGUGGGUCAAAACCACCCUCCAAGACAUCCUGGAGUCCAGUGCUCAAUUGCAAUCGCAGGCAAACCUGCUCUCCAUCGCAGACCACCUCCUGGUCCUCACGUCUGACGCAGUGGGCAGCGCCAGCCAGCUGUUCAACAGCCACCAGGACAAAGCUCAUCUUCACCUAGACAGUAUUGUCUGGUACUGGUCAGCAAAGGCCCACUACCUCAUCACACAGCUGCAGGCUGUCCAGGGCAUCGAUGAACACGUCCUGCAGCUCAUGAGACAACACUUGCAGAACACAGAGGACCAGCACCUUCCACGACGACACAACAGCCCAGCGAAGCUCUUCCCAGCCCGAGAGCUUCAUGCUCUGAGCCAUGCCAAGUCAGCAGAAACUUGCCCAAGCAGGAGCAGAGGAGGAGGUGGAGCUGGUACAGUACAUGAAAUGUUACUGUCUCAACAGCACAAGAGCAGUCCUCCCAGCGUCUCCCCUGCCAGCAGCCCUGUGAAGCACGAGAGAGAAAACAGAGACACAUGGAAGGGUGACCCUAGUAAGAUGUCCCAGGUCACCAAGGACAUGGCAACAAGGAUGCUUCACAUGACUCAGUUCCUGAGGAAGAAGGGUCCCAUCAUGAGCAAGGACCAGCUUGUUGCCUGUGCGAGGCAAAUGGCUUCUGAUGGCCAGGUGUUUGUUAAAUUUGGCCACAUCGUUGCGAAGCACUGCCUGGACAGGAGAUGCUCCACAGAGCUGCUGUGUGCUGCAGAGCACACCCACACCAUCAGCAGCCAGCUCAGCAUCGUGGCCAGGGUGAAAGCAGUCACUGCAGAGAGCAAGUCCUCUUCUGAGCUGCUUGUGAGCAACGCGCAGAACCUCAUUCAAGCAGUUUUGCAUGUUCUGAAGGCAGCUGAGGCAGCGUGUAUCAAGCUCACUGUGCAUCUUUCCAGGCAUUGA
rnacentral:lncRNA from 1 species